rnacentral:rRNA from 1 species
CGUCUAUAUACGUAUAGCAUAUCAAUAAGCGGAGGAAAAGAAACUAACUAGGAUUCCCUCAGUAACGGCGAGUGAAGCGGGGAAGAGCUCAAAUUUGAAAUCUUCAAGGUUCUACCUUGACGGAUUGUAGUUUAAAGAAGUGUUUUCUGUUGGAGUUUUGGUAAAAGUUCUUUGGAAUAGGACAUCAUAGAGGGUGAGAAUCCCGUAUUUGACCAUUAUUUCCAACUUUGUGAUACACUUUCAAAGAGUCGGAUUGUUUGGGAAUGCAGUCCAAAAUGGGUGGUAAAUUUCAUCUAAAGCUAAAUAUUGGCGAGAGACCGAUAGCGAACAAGUACCGUGAGGGAAGGAUGAAAAGAACUUUGAAAAGAGAGUUAAUCAGUACGUGAAAUUGUCAAAAGGGAAGCGUUUGACACCAGUGUUGUUUUCUCGAAAAUCAAUUAAAAAUGGCGGGAUUUUGUGUUGUAUUGACUUUAUCAGCUUUCUGCACUUUUUUCCUGUCUUUUUUAAUGCACUUUUCGUUUAACAAGUCAACAUCAAUUUCUUUUGUUGUAAAAGGGUCAUUGGAAGGUGGCUUUCUUUUCGGAGAAAGUGUUUAUAGCCUUUGGCCUCUGCAAUCGGAGAGAUUGAGGUCUGCAGCGUAGAUCCUUCGGGGUUAGAUAGCAUUUGUGCUAAGUUAUAGCCUUUCAUAGACAACUUGUUGACUAUGAUCAGUCAUGUAGCUUACUCGCUUAUGCUAUUUUACCUACGCUUAGGAUGUUGACGAUCAGCUGAGCGCG